UUUUUUUUUUUUUUGAGACAGAGUCUUGCUCUGUCGCCCAGGCUGGAGUGCCAUGGCGCAAUCUAGGCUCACUGCAAGCUCCGCCUCCUGGGUUCACGCCAUUCUGCUGCCUCAGCCUCCCCAGUAGCUAGGACUACAGGCUCCUGCCACCACGCCUGGCUAAUUUUUUUUUGUAGUUUUAAUAGAGACGGGGUUUCACUGUGUUAGCCAGGAUGGUCUCAAUCUCCUGACCUCGUGAUCCGCCCACCUUGGCCUCCCAAAGUGCUGGAAUUAUAGGUGUGAGCCACCGCACCAGGCCUUUUUUGGUUAAAUUUCAUGAGAAUUAGAGGUAAUGUGGCAUUGGAGGAGGAUGGCAUUGAUGUGUCGGGAACUAAUAAGAAACAGAGUAGAGACUGGUCUGGCUUCUUUCUUCAAAAAAUCCCAGGAAAAUAUACAGCACCAGAGCUUUUACUAAUGGGUAGGCCUGGUUCUACGAGACAAAAAACAUAAGUAUCACUCUUCUUCCUCUAUAAUAAUUUAGAACUGGUUCAUCCAGGUCCCAUUGGCAUCUCCUUGUCCUUUCUCACUGGCCAGUAUCAUAUCUGAGUUACCCCUAACCACAUGAAAAAACAUUUUGCUACCCUUCCCACCACAUUGAGUUGCAAGUGACUUCUGAGACUAUCUCAGGCUGUCUGAUUGGACACUCCACAGCAAUUUCUCUUGUUUGGCUGGACUUAAGGGAAUGCUGUGAGGCCAGCCCUCACCCUGGGGUGCACUUGGAAAGUGAGACAAAGUUAUUCUGAGAUUUCCAUCACCUCUACAUCACUAGUCCUGCAGUCUGCCUGUAGAUGGGGGACAAGGAGUAGAUCCUUUCUGACCAACAUCUAACUCUUGUGUUUUUCCUCUCUUUUCUUUUAACCCUUUAUUUAACAUGCUUUAUUUAGUCUCAGGGACAGUAAAAACAGGCUUAAGCUAAUCAUAUAUUCUUCUAGAUCAUCUUCCCUUAUGCCUUGUCCCUAGCUUUUUAUUUUCAAAAGUCAGUAAUUUAAGAAAUAAAAGCUAUCCAAAUUGAAAAAGAGGAAGUCAAAUUGUCUGUUUGCAGAUUACAUUGUCUUAUAUACAGAAAAACCUAAAGACUCCACCCAAAACUCUUAGAACUAAUAAAUUCAGUAAAGUUGCAGGAUACAAAAGUAAUAUAAAAAUCAGUAGCAUUUUUAUACAUAAUCAACAAACUAGCUGGAAAAGAAAUCAAGAAGUCAAUCACAUUUACAAUAGCUACAAAAAUACAUAGGAAUAAAUUUAAUCAAGGAUGUGAAAGACUUCUAUAAGAAAAACUGAAAAACACUGAUGAAAGAAAUGAAGAGGAUACAAACAAAUGGGAA
rnacentral:lncRNA from 1 species